AUGGGCAUGCUAGCCUCACAGCCUGAGUCUCCUGUACAAAAGUCCAGUCCAGGCUAUCUACUAGAGGUCCAAUUUGCUGCCCACAGCCCUGAGAGGGGCUUCUAGCACCUUCCCACUAGAAAAACAUAACUCUGCAAAUGUCUGCCAAUAAGGACUCAUUUUCAAUUGACUUACUCACAGUAAACUCUGAUGACUUCCUUGGGACCACCUCCAGUGACCAGAAAGGGCCUGUGUUAUGUUUCUACAACAUCUGUUAUCAUGUAAAAGAGAAGAGAGGCUUCCUGUUUAAACAGAAAAUAACUGAGAAAAGGAUACUAUCAGAUAUCAAUGGGAUCAUGAACCCUGGCCUUAAUGCCAUUGUGGGACCCUCAGUUUCAGGCAAUACUUUGUGAGUAUAAAAGAAGGUGUAAGUAAGCCUUUUUGGCUGCAUUUUAGUAUGCUUUUUAAAAAAUCACAUG